AUGGUUGCAUUUAGGGAUGCCUUGGAGAUUUGUGGCCUGGUAGAUCUAGACUUUGUGGGGGUUCCAUUCACUUAUGAUAACAAGAGGGGAGGAGGAGGCAAUGUCAGAGUUAGGCUGGACAGGGCAGUUGCCACUAAUACAUGGAGGAACUUGUUCUCCUAUGCAUCGGUGUUACAUGUCCCCUCACCAUGUUCGGAUCACGUAGCUCUUGUACUAAAGGGAGAGGACGAUUUGGGGCCAAAGGGAGGAAAGCAGAGAAGAUAUGAGGUGUUCUGGGAGCGGGAUACAUCGCUACCGGAGGUGGUCAGAGAGGCAUGGGAGGCAGUGGGGGAGGUGCAUAAUAUGGCACAACUGCGGGAUGCUCUGACUAAAAUGAUGAUUGCUCUACGGGUAUGGAGCAAAAAAUUUGGUAAUAUCACACGGGAGUUAGCCAAGUCGCGCACACAGCUAGAGGAGUUGAUGAAUAUAAACGCCGACCGGCAGGAUAUUUAG
rnacentral:rRNA from 1 species